rnacentral:rRNA from 1 species
CCUACGGGAGGCAGCAGUGAGGAAUAUUGGUCAAUGGACGCAAGUCUGAACCAGCCAUGCCGCGUGCAGGAAGACGGCUCUAUGAGUUGUAAACUGCUUUUGUACGAGGGGAAACGCAGAUACGCGUAUCUGUCUGAAAGUACCGUACGAAUAAGGACCGGCUAACUCCGUGCCAGCAGCCGCGGUAAUACGGAGGAUUCAAGCGUUAUCCGGAUUGAUUGGGGUUAAGGGGUGCGUAGGCGGUCGGAUAAGUUAGAGGUGAAAUCCCGAGGCUCAACUUCGGAAUUGCCUCUGAUACUGUUCGGCUAGAGAGUAGUUGCGGUAGGCGGAAUGUAUGGUGUAGCGGUGAAAUGCUUAGAGAUCA